rnacentral:rRNA from 1 species
AUUGAACGCUGGCGGCAGGCCUAACACAUGCAAGUCGAGCGAGAGGCGGACGGGUGAGUAAUGUCUGGGGAUCUGCCCGAUAGCGGGGGAUAACUACUGGAAACGGUGGCUAAAACCGCAUACUAUCGGAUGAACCCAUAUGGGAUUAGCUAGGAGGUGGGGUAAAGGCUCACCUAGGCGACGAUAUCUAGCUGGUCUGAGGGGAGGAGAAGCCACACUGGGACUGAGACACGGCCCAGCCUCGUACGGGAGGCAGCAGUGGGGAAUAUUGCACAAUGGGCGCAAGCCUGAUGCAGCCAUGCCGCGUGUAUGAAGAAGGCCUUAGGGUUGUAAAGUACUUUCAGCGGGGAGGCGUUACUCGCAGAAGAAGCACCGGCUAACUCCGUGCCAGCAGCCGCGGUAAUUC